GUUUAUACAGGUUUAUACUGGUCUAUAAUGGUUUAUACUGGUCUGUAAUGGUUUAUACUGGUAAUACUGAUUUAUGCUGGUCUAUACUGGUUUAUACUGGUUAUACUGGUCUAUACUGGAUUAUACUGGUUUAUACAGGUUUUUACUGGUCUAUACUGUUUAUACUGGUCUUUACUGGUCCAUACUGGUCUGUACUGAUCUAUACUGGUCGAUACAGGUGUAUACUGGUUUAUAGUGGU